rnacentral:tRNA from 1 species
ACCUGGGUGGCUCAGUCGGUUAAGCGUCUGACUCUUGGUUUUGGCUCAGGUCACGAUCUCAGAGUGUGUGGGUUCGAACCCCGCGCUGGGUU